CCUACGGGAGGCAGCAGUGGGGAAUAUUGCACAAUGGGCGCAAGCCUGAUGCAGCAACGCCGCGUGAAUGAAGAAGGCUUUCGGGUUGUAAACUUCUUUUCUCAGGGACGAAGCAGGUGACGGUACCUGAGGAAUAAGCCACGGCUAACGACGUGCCAGCAGCCGCGGUACUACGUAGGGGGCAAGCGUUAUCCGGAUUUGGUUGGUGUAAAAGCAGUGUCGGCGGGAAAGCAAGUCAGAUGUGAAAACCACGGGCUCAACCUGUGGACUGCAUUUGAAACUGUUCUUCUUGAGUACUGGAGAGGCAGACGGAAUUCCUAGUGUAGCGGUGAAAUGCGUAGAUAUUAGGAGGAACACCAGUGGCGAAGGCGGCCUGCUGGACAGCAACUGACGCUGAGGCGCGAAAGCGUGGGGAGCAAACAGGAUUAGAUACCCUAGUAGUC
rnacentral:rRNA from 1 species